AGAACGAACGCUGGCGGCAGGCUUAACACAUGCAAGUCGAACGGGCGUAGCAAUACGUCAGUGGCAGACGGGUGAGUAACACGUGGGAACCUUCCUAGGGGUACGGAACAACUCAGGGAAACUUGAGCUAAUACCGCAUACGUCCGUGAGGAGAAAGAUUCAUCGCCCCUAGACGGGCCCGCGUCGGAUUAGGUAGUUGGUGGGGUAACGGCCUACCAAGCCUACGAUCCGUAGCUGAUCUGAGAGGAUGAUCAGCCACACUGGGACUGAGACACGGCCCAGACUCCUACGGGAGGCAGCAGUGGGGAAUCUUGGACAAUGGGCGCAAGCCUGAUCCAGCCAUGCCGCGUGAGUGAAGAAGGCCUUAGGGUGUAAAGCUCUUUUACCAGGGACGAUAAUGACGGUACCUGGAGAAUAAGCCCCGGCAAACUUCGUGCCAGCAAGCCGC
rnacentral:rRNA from 1 species